GAUGAACGCUGGCGGCGUGCUUAACACAUGCAAGUCGAACGGAAAGGCCCAAGCUUGCUUGGGUGCUCGAGUGGCGAACGGGUGAGUAACACGUGGGUGAUCUGCCCUGCACUUUGGGAUAAGCCUGGGAAACUGGGUCUAAUACCGGAUAGGACCAUCGUUUAGUGUCGGUGGUGGAAAGUUUUUCGGUGUGGGAUGAGCUCGCGGCCUAUCAGCUUGUUGGUGGGGUAAUGGCCUACCAAGGCGUCGACGGGUAGCCGGCCUGAGAGGGUGUACGGCCACAUUGGGACUGAGAUACGGCCCAGACUCCUACGGGAGGCAGCAGUGGGGAAUAUUGCACAAUGGGCGCAAGCCUGAUGCAGCGACGCCGCGUGGGGGAUGACGGCCUUCGGGUUGUAAACUCCUUUCGCCAGGGACGAAGCGUUUUGUGACGGUACUUGGAGAAGAAGCACCGGCUAACUACGUG
rnacentral:rRNA from 1 species